UCUUUGUAUCUGGGUUUUUCUCAAGUUUCAAUUUUCAUCUUUGUAUCUGGGUUUGCUCAAGUUUCUAUCUGGUUCCUGAAUUGAUUUUGGAGACCAAAAUUGUACAUGCGAAGAUUUUGAUUUGAUAUAUUGUUAAGGUAGAAAUUGGGAAGGAAUAAUUUUUAUUAGUUUGAUUGCAUGAAAGUGGUUUCUGAAUUCACUUAUUCAAACCUUUCUCUCUGUUAUUUUGCAAUACAAACCUAAGAGCAGAUCGAAGAAGAAGAAGAAGAUAUUAAAUUAAAUAAGUUUCAAAUCCUUUUUAUCUUUGAUUCUGUUUUUUUUUUUUUUUGCUUAAGCUUCUGUCUGGUUAAUCAAAAAAUUGAAAGAUUUUGGUGAAUUUGAUAAAUUGGUUAAUGUAGAAAUUGGAAAGGAAUGAAUUUGUUUAGUUUUGUUGCAUGACUCUGAAAUGGGUUUUCAAACUAUUUCUGAAAAUCCCUUAAGGAUUAUUUGAUUAAUGUCUGCUUUGAUUAUUGAUCUAUGCAGUGGAUUAAGUUUAUUCUUUUCUUUUUGGUAUGAGGUUUUGUACAUGUGAGUUUUACUAGUGAAAAAUUGAAACAAAGCAUUACCCAUUACAAUAUAGGUUAUGGAUUAUAAUUAUGUGGGUGAAUGACGGUUCUGAAAGAUCUCUAAUAAUAAAUCCAUGCAGUUGUGUCCAGUAAUUCACUAUUCGCUGCUCCUUUAGUUUUGUCACUUCUAUUUUUAACAUGUGUUGCGUUGUAAGAGAAGCUGGCUGUGAAGGUUAGCUCAUACUGCUGCUUGUCUGGCUCCUGUGAUACACAAUUUUUGUAGUAUCUGUAGUUGUCUUUUGUAGGAUGCUCUUGAUAGUAAGUUCGUUGAACUCUCAUUAUCGACUGCAUUUCAGUGUUAAACAUGCUUGAGGAUUGCAGAAAUUAUAUCUUAUCGCUUUCUUAGUUGACUGGAUAGUUAAUCUUAUUUGCGGAACUUGAGGCUCAAUGGUGUUGUGUUGUUGGUAAUCUCCAAAUUGCUGUAGCAGACUUUCUCAGCUAAUGAAUGCAUAUUGUUGUGAGUACUGACCUACCCUGGAGCACAAGACAUUUUGAAUAGCUUUGAACUGCUAUUAACCCGCACGCAUCACAAGCAGAUAAGGAUCUGUUGAAAUGAUGCAAAAGAAUUACAGGGUUAGGAUUCAGAUUCUUAGGAGUUAGUUUGACAGUUCAUGAAUGCCAAAGUAUCUAUCGAGAGGUGAGUUUGGAUGCAAUUUUAUUUCAUUCUAUUAAAAGGUGUUCAUAUUUGUGACAAGAUACAUGAAUCACUUGCUAGUUGACAAAGCGUACUUUGGGGUUUUCUGUUGUUCCAUAUUGAUCGCGUUAUAGUCGGAGUCUUGCCUUCUAAGUCAGCAUCCUUGCAUUACGUUAAGUCAGAAAUCACUGGUCCUUGAGUUUGUUUGUGACCCUUGCUCUGAUUGAGCCUGGUUUUAUGCUUCUGUCUGUGUGUGAUUCACCCGUUUUAUGCUGAACUUUCAGAUCGUUCUUUCCA